UAUGAACGCUGGCGGCGUGCCUAAUACAUGCAAGUCGAGCGAACGGACGAGAAGCUUGCUUCUCUGAUGUUAGCGGCGGACGGGUGAGUAACACGUGGAUAACCUACCUAUAAGACUGGGAUAACUUCGGGAAACCGUAGCUAAUACCGGAUAAUAUUUUGAACCGCAUGGUUCAAAAGUGAAAGACGGUCUUGCUGUCACUUAUAGAUGGAUCCGCGCUGCAUUAGCUAGUUGGUAAGGUAACGGCUUACCAAGGCAACGAUGCAUAGCCGACCUGAGAGGGUGAUCGGCCACACUGGAACUGAGACACGGUCCAGACUCCUACGGGAGGCAGCAGUAGGGAAUCUUCCGCAAUGGGCGAAAGCCUGACGGAGCAACGCCGCGUGAGUGAUGAAGGUCUUCGGAUCGUAAAACUCUGUUAUUAGGGAAGAACAUAUGUGUAAGUAACUGUGCACAUCUUGACGGUACCUAAUCAGAAAGCCACGGCUAACUACGUG
rnacentral:rRNA from 1 species